rnacentral:rRNA from 1 species
UGAACGCUGGCGGCGUGCCUAACACAUGCAAGUCGAACGGAGUAAUUAAGCGGAAGUUUCGGAUGGAAGCAUAGUUACUUAGUGGCGGACGGGUGAGUAACGCGUGGGCAACCUGCCCUGUACCGGGGGAUAACACUUAGAAAUAGGUGCUAAUACCGCAUAAGCGCACAGCUUCGCAUGAAGGUGUGUGAAAAACUCCGGUGGUACAGGAUGGACCCGCGUCUGAUUAGCUAGUUGGUGGGGUAGAGGCCUACCAAGGCGACGAUCAGUAGCCGGCCUGAGAGGGUGACCGGCCACAUUGGGACUGAGACACGGCCCAAACUCCUACGGGAGGCAGCAGUGGGGAAUAUUGCACAAUGGGGGAAACCCUGAUGCCAGCGACGCCGCGUGAGUGAAGAAGUAUUUCGGUAUGUAAAGCUCUAUCAGCAGGGAAGAAAAUGACGGUACCUGACUAAGAAGCCCCGGCUAACUACGUGCCAGCCGCCGC